rnacentral:rRNA from 1 species
UGCAAGUCGAACGAAGUAGCAAUACUUAGUGGCAGACGGGUGAGUAACAUGUGGGUAUCUGCCCUUUGGCCUGGAAUAACACGAGGAAACUUGCGCUAAUACCGGAUAAUUCUUUACAGAGAAAGCUUUAUGCACCAUUGGAUGAGCCCGCACUUGAUUAGUUUGUUGGUGGGGUAAUGGCCUACCAAGACUGUGAUCAAUAGCUGAUUUGAGAGGAUGAUCAGCCACAUUGGGACUGAGACACGGCCCAAACUCCUACGGGAGGCAGCAGGGGGGAAUCUUGCACAAUGGAGGAAACUCUGAUGCAGCGAUGCCGCGUGAGUGAAGAAGGCCCUUGGGUUGUAAAGCUCUUUCGUCGGGGAAAAAAAUGACUGUACCCGAAUAAGAAGGUCCGGCUAACUUCGUGCCAGCAGCCGCGGUAAUACGAAGGGACCUAGCGUAGUUCGGAAUUACUGGGCUUAAAGAGUUCGUAGGUGGUUGAAAAAGUUGGUGGUGAAAUCCCAGAGCUUAACUCUGGAACUGCCAUCAAAACUUUUCAGCUAGAGUAUGAUAGAGGAAAGCAGAAUUUCUAGUGUAGAGGUGAAAUUCGUAGAUAUUAGAAAGAAUACCAAUUGCGAAGGCAGCUUUCUGGAUCAUUACUGACACUGAGGAACGAAAGCAUGGGUAGCGAAGAGGAUUAGAUACCCUCGUAGUCCAUGCCGUAAACGAUGUGUGUUAGACGUUGGAAAUUUAUUUUCAGUGUCGCAGCGAAAGCGAUAAACACACCGCCUGGGGAGUACGACCGC